rnacentral:lncRNA from 1 species
GGCACGAAAGACAAGACUUUCUUGAGCAUAAGGUCACCUUCUCGGAACACACGAGGCUUGACCUUCUUAUCAAAUGCUUUUUCACUCUCUGCUGACAUGACUGACCAUGACACAUGGCAGUUAAUCUCUUCGCUCUUUCCGUCGAAUUCAGCAUUAGUCAACUUGGGACUUUGAGGGUGCUAUCUUUCUUUUGUUUUUUUUUUGUUUUUUUUUCUUUUGAUUUUGCUUUUGAUUUUGCUUUCUUUUGAUUUCUUUUGAUUUCUUUUGAUUUCUUUUGAUUUUGAUUGAUUUCUUUUUUUUUGAUUUUGCACCCUCCUCUUUCUCUUUUUUUUCUCUUUUUUUUUUGAUAAAAUGCCCCAGUUGGCUGUUCUGCUGAUUCUCGAGAUGCAGCUGAGUGAUCUUCUUUUCUUGCUCAAGAAGUCGGGAAAUCUCGUCAGGAAUCCCUUCAACAUCAUCUUCGUCCGCUUCAAAUACAGGGAAUUCAAAAUUGGGAGAUGACGUCCGAUCACUAUGUUCAAUGGGUUUGAGAAACAACCUGCAUAAAGAUUUUGAUAUGAAAAGCUUUUUGGAAACAAACAAGACAAUCGUUAUGCAGAUGAAAAGAUUGCUUUUAUUCUUG